CGCUUCUUUACCUGCAUAUUUAAUGUGUCUACAUUUACGGCGGCGCGGUUGCGUUAUAUGUUCAUGGUUUUAUCCUAACUCCAAUCAAGUGUAGUAUAGGUAUAUCCGUGCAGAGACUUUACUUUUCUUGCCACGGUGUUAUGUAAUACAGUAGGACCCCCUUAAGUAGACGCUUCUUCAAGUGGAAGAUUCCCUGAAAUGUUUUUGAUGACGCCCAUGUUUCUCAAAGUGGACGGUGAUUCUCCUCCAUUUCUUUGCUCGUGGAACGUAAAUGCUGUCACAUAGAUGUGCAUCCUGGCUUAAUUUUUCAUAUAAGUAGUAAUUGAAAAUAAUUUGCUCGAAUGAAGUAUUACUUUUGAAGUAUUGAACUCAAGUCACAUUCGAUUUAAUUAUUUACACGUGUGUAAUUACCAAUAAAAAAAUAAGCAGGCUUGUCAAAUUUAUAGUACUUACCUUUGAUAUCAUUUUGUAAAGGAAAAGUUGCAUCAGAUUGAUAGGAAUCCUCUCAAAGAGAAAUAAAUUUUUUCCAGUAAAACUGGAUAUUUAAAGUAAAAUUAAAUUAAAUCGACCUAACUAUUGGUUUUAAAUAUUUAUUUUUUCUAAAUUAAACUAACAAGAUUUUUGUCUUCUUAUUUUUAAUAUAAAUUCUUAAAAGACCAAUAAAGAAUGUGAAAAGUAUUUUACAUGAUAAAACUAAACAAAUUGUAAAUAUAAUUGGGCGCAGAAA